UGCUUUCCAGCCAGCAUUUUGAAGGCAAAGGAAGUUCGCCUCCAGAACAGCAAGAUGUCUGACAGCCUGGACAUGUUUGAAGACCUGUACUACCAGAGUCCAAUUUGUUGUUGGAGACCCCGCCGCAGAAAGCCGUGUUAUUGUUGUUGCUAUGAUCCAUGCACUGGAGAGCUAGUUUGGCAGGGAUGGUGCUGUUGCCCCUGUUGGGGCGGUAGGGGCAGUUAUGGAAGGCGCUGGCCAUGCUAAAUCCAGCUCGGAUAUCCACGGCACUUGAA